rnacentral:lncRNA from 1 species
AAAAAUGUUGAAGCAAAUUUAUUAAUGCAAACUGAUGCUAGAUUGGAACAGAGCAUGGAACGAUGGAGAGCUGUGUGACAUCAAUUGAUAAUUUUCUGGAAUCAAGCAUGAGAAAUAGGAUGAGAAAAGACAAAAAAAGAAAACCUGGGUCUUAGAGAGCUGCUUGAAGAAAAGGCAUGUUUUUAUUCUGAAGCCAAAUUUUACAUAAUC